rnacentral:rRNA from 1 species
GACGAACGCUGGCGGCGUGCUUAACACAUGCAAGUCGAGCGGAAAGGCCACUUCGGUGGUACUCGAGCGGCGAACGGGCGAGUAACCCGUGAGUAAUCUGCCCCUGGCUUUGGGAUAGCCACCGGAAACGGUGAUUAAUACCGGAUACGACCACCUCUCGCAUGGGAGGGCGGUGGAACGUUUUUUCGGCCAGGGAUGUGCUCGCGGCCUAUCAGCUUGAUGGUGAGGUAAUGGCUCGCCAUGGCUUCGACGGGUAGCCGGCCUGAGAGGGUGACCGGUCACACUGGGACUGAGACACGGCCCAGACUCCUACGGGAGGCAGCAGUGGGGAAUGUUGGACAAUGGGCAGAAGCCUGAUCCAGCAACGCCGCGUGAGGGAUGACGGCCUUCGGGUUGUAAACCUAUUUCAGCAGGGACGAAGCGCAAGUGACGGUACCUGCAGAAGAAGCACCGGCCAACUACGUGCCAGCCGCCGCCGUAA